rnacentral:lncRNA from 1 species
CUGGCUUUUCAUAGCCAGUCAUGGCUCUCCUGUGCUUUCAAAAAGGUCCUGUUUAGCAGCCUCAUGACAACAGUUGUUCCAGGAAAAUGGCAAAGUGUGACAAAGAGAGAUCUAUGCACACGGGUAAAUCGGAUCUGAAAUCAUCUGUCCAAGUGCAAGAGGGGAUUUUUGCUAGGGCUAGAGUCUUGUUAGAGUUGGAAGUUGUCCCUGUAGACCAACACAUCCCCCUUCUGUGAGCAGAUUUCUCCUGGAAUGCUGAGCAUUUGUUUAUGGAAAAGCACAGUAUUCUGUCAGAUACAAUAUUAGUUCCCCACAGUAGCAGGGAGACCUUGGGUCAGAUUCAUCAAGAGGGUUAACAGAUAUUUUCAGGUAUUGCA